UACAGAGGGGGCAAGCGUUGUUCGGAAUUACUGGGCGUAAAGGGCGCGUAGGCGGCCUUCUAAGUCGAACGUGAAAUCCCCGGGCUCAACCCGGGAACUGCGUCCGAUACUGGAAGGCUUGAAUCCGGGAGAGGGAUGUGGAAUUCCAGGUGUAGCGGUGAAAUGCGUAGAUAUCUGGAGGAAUACCGGUGGCGAAGGCGGCGUUCUGGACCAUUACUGACACUGAAUCGCGAAAGCUAGGGGAGCAAACGGG
rnacentral:rRNA from 1 species